rnacentral:rRNA from 1 species
GACGAACGCUGGCGGCGUGCUUAACACAUGCAAGUCGAACGGAAAGGCCCUGCUUGCAGGGUACUCGAGUGGCGAACGGGUGAGUAACACGUGGGUGAUCUGCCCUGCACUUCGGGAUAAGCCUGGGAAACUGGGUCUAAUACCGGAUAGGAGCCAUUUUUAGUGUGAUGGUUGGAAAGUUUUUUCGGUGUAGGAUGAGCUCGCGGCCUAUCAACUUGUUGGUGGGGUAAUGGCCUACCAAGGCGGCGACGGGUAGCCGGCCUGAGAGGGUGGACGGCCACAUUGGGACUGAGAUACGGCCCAGACUCCUACGGGAGGCAGCAGUGGGGAAUAUUGCACAAUGGGCGCAAGCCUGAUGCAGCGACGCCGCGUGGGGAUGACGGCCUUCGGGUUGUAAACUCCUUUCGCUAGGGACGAAGCUUUUUGUGACGGUACCUAGAUAAGAAGCACCGGCUAACUACGUG